CAAACGACCACUUGACCCUCAGACAUCUGAGAAGAGAAAACGACUUUUGUGGAUCGCUUCGGCCGCAAUCAUCCGGAGGGAUAUAUCAAUUAGCAACAAAGAGAACAGAAGGCAUUGACGGUGGCCCUUUUGUUUUGGCACCGCCGCGACUUUGAAGGAUUUUUGGCCGGGCCACUCAUUACCUUAGAAAAAGGGCAACGGCGAAAUAAGGUUCUCCUCCUCCUCUUCCUCAUCAUCAGAGAGACGUCAGCACUAACAACAGAAGAGUCAAGCUAAGUGCUGUCUGCAUCGCUAAUGCACGGCUCGCGACUUCACAUCCAUCAUUCAGCGUCCUUUUAUCUGAUUGCUUCAUGAACUUAUUAGCUGCACUUAC